AAACGACUCUCGGCAACGGAUAUCUCGGCUCUCGCAUCGAUGAAGAACGUAGCGAAAUGCGAUACUUGGUGUGAAUUGCAGAAUCCCGUGAACCAUCGAGUCUUUGAACGCAAGUUGCGCCCCAAGCCUUAUGGCCGAGGGCACGUCUGCCUGGGUGUCACA
rnacentral:rRNA from 1 species